CCAAGUCGGCGACCACACGAUUCCGUUAGUCGCCGCUUACGACAAGCAUGGCUUACUGAAGAUCAGUUGUUACUUGGAUCUUCACGGAAACUACAGUUUGAUAAAUUUUCGCAGAGAUUCAUAGGAUCCAUGGAUAAUAGAUAAAAUAUAUGGAAGAGAAUGAAAGAAUCUAAUUCCGAGCAAUAUUGAACAUGUGAUGUCAUCGCGUACAUGUCACGAACGAAUACCUUUGAUUGCAUGGUAUUUUAUUACAUGUCAACUGUACGCUGUGGGUUCACGAGCUUUCGGUGUACCCAAUCAUGCCCGACCACAGCAUUAAAGGCACACUCCUUUCUUUAUCUCGAUUUUCCUUUGCAAUAAACUCUCUCUACAAGUCAAAACAUUGAGUACACAACAGUCUCCGGCACAACGAUGAUUA